CUACGGGGUGCUGCAGUGAGGAAUUUUGCGCAAUGGGGGAAACCCUGACGCAGCAACGCCGCGUGAGCGAAGAAGGCCCUCGGGUCGUAAAGCUCUGUCAAGUGGGAAAAAAAUCUUUUGAUCAAUAGUCAAAAGACUUGAUGGUACCACUGGAGGAAGCACCGGCUAACUCCGUGCCAGCAGCCGCGGUAAUACGGAGGGUGCAAGCGUUGUUCGGAUUUACUGGGCGUAAAGAGCGUGUAGGCGGUUUAGCAAGUCAGAUGUGAAAGCCCUGGGCUCAACCCGGGAAGUGCAUUCGAAACUGCUUGACUAGAGUAUGGGAGAGGAGAUGGGAAUUCCUGGUGUAGAGGUGAAAUUCGUAGAUAUCAGGAGGAACACCCGUGGCGAAGGCGAUUCUCUGGACCAAUACUGACGCUGAGACGCGAAAGCGUGGGGAGCAAACAGGAUUAGAUACCCUAGUAGUC
rnacentral:rRNA from 1 species